rnacentral:rRNA from 1 species
UACGGAGGGUGCAAGCGUUAUCCGGAUUUAUUGGGUUUAAAGGGUGCGUAGGCGGCUUAUUAAGUCAGCUGUGAAAUGUAUCGGCUUAACCGAUAACGUGCAGUUGAAACUGGUAAGCUAGAAUACGGUUGACGUGGGAGGAAUGUGUAGUGUAGCGGCGAAAUGCAUAGAUAUUACACAGAACACCGAUUGCGAAGGCAUCUCACGAAACCAGCAUUGACGCUGAGGCACGAAAGUGUGGGUAUCGAACAGG